UUUGUCCUGAAGGGGUGAAUAUCAAAUACACUUAGAAAUACAUUUAGAUAGAGAUAGAUAGAUAUAUAGAUAUAUAUAAAUGUAUCUAUAUCUAUCUAUCUAAAUGUAUUACUAAGUGUAUUUGAUAUUCACCCCUUCAGGACGCA